rnacentral:rRNA from 1 species
GACGAACGCUGGCGGCGUGCUUAACACAUGCAAGUCGAACGGAAAGGCCCUGCUUUUGUGGGGUGCUCGAGUGGCGAACGGGUGAGUAACACGUGAGUAACCUGCCCUUGACUUUGGGAUAACUUCAGGAAACUGGGGCUAAUACCGGAUAGGAGCUCCUGCUGCAUGGUGGGGGUUGGAAAGUUUCGGCGGUUGGGGAUGGACUCGCGGCUUAUCAGCUUGUUGGUGGGGUAGUGGCUUACCAAGGCUUUGACGGGUAGCCGGCCUGAGAGGGUGACCGGCCACAUAGGGACUGAGAUACGGCCAAGACUCCUACGGGGGGCAGCAGUGGGGAAUAGUGCAAAAUGGGCGGAAGCCUGAUGCAGCAACGCCGCGUGCGGGAUGACGGCCUUCGGGUUGUAAACCGCGUUCGCCUGUGACGAAGCGUGAGUGACGGUAAUGGGUAAAGAAGCACCGGCUAACUACGUG